rnacentral:rRNA from 1 species
UGCCAGCCGCCGCGGUAAUACGAAGGGUGCUAGCGUUGUUCGGAAUUACUGGGCGUAAAGAGCAUGUAGGCGGAUGAAUUAGUCAGAGGUGAAAGCCCCGAGCUCAACUUGGGAACUGCCUUUGAUACUGUUUAUCUAGAGUCCGAGAGAGGUUAGUGGAAUUCCCAGUGUAGAGGUGAAAUUCGUAGAUAUUCGGAGGAACACCAGUGGCGAAGGCGACCACCUGGUACAGUAUUGACGCUGAGAUGCGAAAGUGUGGGGAGCAAACGGGAUUAGAUA